UAGUGAAAAUAUUACAAAUUUUUACGUCUUAAUAAUAAACAAAAGCAAAACAAGAUUGUAUUACAGUUGAAGAACAAUCAGUUUAAAAAAAUAAUCAACAAAUGCUAAAGAAACAAGAACAAGACUGGAUUCUUGAAAGUAGAAUAGCAAGCGCAUGUGAAACUUUGAGGUUAUGGUCACUCAAGAGCAACUCACCAAAAAAAUGUUAAUUAGUUCUCAGGAGGUUAACAAGCAUGCUGACUGUACAGACCGUACAGACAAUGGUACAGAUAUGUAUCAAUAAAUAUUAUACACAUGAAACUCACAUUAAAUCUCAAAUGGAAACUGUUUUUCAAUGAAAAUCACUCGUAGACUGCCAAAUAAACACAAUAUAUACCUUAUGUAACGAUAGUAAGCCGAAAAUUGUGAUUUAAUGUGUCGCUCACGUAGCACCCACACAUAUUGUUGCAUACUAUGAGGUUACAUAUAAUUCUUAUAACAAUAAUCCAACUUGAAAAAAGA